rnacentral:rRNA from 1 species
GACGAACGCUGGCGGCGUGCUUAACACAUGCAAGUCGAACGGAAAGGCCCUUCUUUUGUGGGGUUCUCGAGUGGCGAACGGGUGAGUAACACGUGAGUAACCUGCCCUUGACUUUGGGAUAACUUCAAGAAACUCGGGCUAAUACCGGAUAGGAGCUCCUGCUUCAUGGUGGGGGUUGGAAAGUUUCGGCGGUUGGGGAUGGACUCGCGGCUUAUCAGCUUGUUGGUGGGGUAGUGACUUACCAAGGCCUGGACGGGUAGCCGGCCGGCGAGGGUGACCGGCCACAUUGGGACUGAGAGAGGGCCGGGCCUGCUACGGGAGGCAGGAGGGGGGAAUAUUGAACGAUGGGCGGAAGCCUGAUGGAGCAACGCCGGGUGCGGGAUGACGGCCUUCGGGUUGUAAACAGAUUUCGCCUGUGACGAAGCGUGAGUGACGGUAAUGGGUAAAGAAGCAACGGCUAACUACGUG